UGCCAGACUCCUACGGGAGGCAGCAGUGGGGAAUAUUGCACAAUGGGGGAAACCCUGAUGCAGCGACGCCGCGUGAGCGAUGAAGUAUUUCGGUAUGUAAAGCUCUAUCAGCAGGGAAGAAGAUGACGGUACCUGACUAAGAAGCCCCGGCUAACUACGUGCCAGCAGCCGCGGUAAUACGUAGGGGGCAAGCGUUAUCCGGAUUUACUGGGUGUAAAGGGAGCGUAGACGGCGAUGCAAGCCAGAUGUGAAAGCCCGGGGCUCAACCCCGGGACUGCAUUUGGAACUGUGUGGCUGGAGUGUCGGAGAGGCAGGCGGAAUUCCUAGUGUAGCGGUGAAAUGCGUAGAUAUUAGGAGGAACACCAGUGGCGAAGGCGGCCUGCUGGACGAUGACUGACGUUGAGGCUCGAAAGCGUGGGGAGCAAACAGGAUUAGAUACCCUAGUAUUG
rnacentral:rRNA from 1 species